rnacentral:misc_RNA from 1 species
GAUGAAGAACAUAGCGAAAUGCGAUAAGUAGUGUGAAUUGCAGAAUUCCGUGAAUCAUCGAAUCUUUGAACGCACAUUGCGCCUUCUGGUAUUCCGGAAGGCAUGCCUGUUCGAGAGUCAUUAACAACCGUUUCGAUCCCUUUCUUUCAGAAAUUACAAAGAGGAAAAGGGUUUGGUUAUGGUGGAGGAGGGAAAGGGAGCGUUUAGCCUGUAAAAAAAGAGGCUGUGUUCCGCCUCCCCCCCAAAAUUGUACAGGCGGUCGUGUGCGCCCACGCAUCGAGGUGUUGUAAAAGCUGCCACGGCACUUUUCACCUGUGCAGUGCGAGAUUGGCCAGCCGGUUUAAAAACCCCUCCAAACAAUCAAAGGUUGACCUCGGAUCAGGUAGGGAUACCCGCUGAACUUAAGCAUAUCAAUAAGCGGAGA